rnacentral:rRNA from 1 species
CUACGGGUUGCUGCAGUCGAGAAUCUUCCGCAAUGGACGAAAGUCUGACGGAGCGACGCCGCGUGCGGGAUGAAGGCCUUCGGGUUGUAAACCGCUGUCAGUGGGGAGGAAAUGCAUCAGGGUUCUCCCUGGUGUUUGACCGAUCCGCAGAGGAAGCGCAGGCUAAGUUCGUGCCAGCAGCCGCGGUAACACGAACUGCGCGGAACGUUAUUCGGAAUCACUGGGCUUAAAGAGUUCGUAGGCGGCCUUUCAAGUCGGGUGUGAAAUCCCUCGGCUCAACCGAGGAAUUGCGCCUGAUACUGGUGGGCUUGAGGGGGAUAGGGGUGAGCGGAACUGAUGGUGGAGCGGUGAAAUGCGUUGAUAUCAUCAGGAACACCGGUGGCGAAGGCGGCUCACUGGAUCUCUUCUGACGCUGAGGAACGAAAGCUAGGGGAGCGAACGGGAUUAGAUACCCCAGUAGUC